GGUCAGGACGAACGCUGGCGGCGUGCUUAACACAUGCAAGUCGAACGAGGAUUAGCGGAUUGAGAGUUCGACAGGAUUGAAGCUAAUUCGAGUGGCGGACGGGUGAGUAACGCGUGAGCAAUCUGUCCCAGACAGGGGGAUAACACUUGGAAACAGGUGCUAAUACCGCAUAAGACCACAGUACCGCAUGGUACAGGGGUAAAAGGAGGAAUCCGGUUUGGGGUGAGUUCGCGUCCGAUUAGAUAGUUGGUGAGGUAACGGCCCACCAAGUCGACGAUCGGUAGCCGACCUGAGAGGGUGAUCGGCCACAUUGGAACUGAGAGACGGUCCAAACUCCUACGGGAGGCAGCAGUGGGGAAUAUUGGGCAAUGGGCGAAAGCCCUGACCCAGCAACGCCGCGUGAGUGAUGAAGGCCUUCGGGUUGUAAAGCUCUGUUAUAGGGGACGAAGGAAGUGACGGUACCCUAUAAGGAAGCCCCGGCUAACUACGUGCCAGCCGCGGC
rnacentral:rRNA from 1 species